rnacentral:rRNA from 1 species
UGAUCAUGGCUCAGAUUGAACGCUGGCGGCAGGCCUAACACAUGCAAGUCGAGCGGUAGCGGGAAGACUUGCUCUUUGCCGACGAGCGGCGGACGGGUGCGUAACACGUAGGAAUCUGCCCGGUAGUGGGGGAUAGCCCGGAGAAAUCCGGAUUAAUACCGCAUACGCCCUAAGGGGGAAAGCAGGGGAUCUUCGGACCUUGCGCUAUCGGAUGAGCCUGCGUCGGAUUAGCUUGUUGGUGGGGUAAAGGCCUACCAAGGCGACGAUCCGUAGCUGGUCUGAGAGGAUGAUCAGCCACACUGGGACUGAGACACGGCCCAGACUCCUACGGGAGGCAGCAGGA